rnacentral:rRNA from 1 species
AACGAACGCUGGCGGCGUGCCUAACACAUGCAAGUCGAGCGCGAAAAGAGCAAUCUGAGUAGAGCGGCGCACGGGUGCGUAACACGUGGGUAAUCUGCCUCGAGGUCUGGGAUAACCUUCCGAAAGGUUGGCUAAUACCAGUUAAGCUCACGGCGACUUCGGUCGCUGAGAGAAAAGGGGCCCGAAAGGGUCUCGCCACGAGAUGAGCCCGCGGCCCAUCAGCUAGUUGGUGAGGUAACGGCCCACCAAGGCAACGACGGGUAGCUGGUCUGGGGGGACGAUCAGCCACACUGGAACUGAGACACGGUCCAGACUCCUACGGGAGGCAGCAGUGGGGAAUUUUGCACAAUGGGCGAAAGCCUGAUGCAGCAACGCCGCGUGUGUGAUGAAGGUCUUCGGAUCGUAAAGCACUUUCGACCGGGACGAACAAGCCUGGCCACACCAGGCCCUGACGGUACCGGGAGAAGAAGCACCGGCUAACUCUGUGCCAGCCGCCGCCGUAACAC